GAGGCGGUGGAGUCGGCCAGGUCGCUGCUGAGGAAGUACGAUAACGGGUGGGAGAUGUCCACGGCGGCGGCGGCGACGGGAUCACGGGAGGCGGCGGCGCCGUGGCACUGCGAUGGAAAGGGCAGCCGGUGUCCUUCUGCUCGCUGUGGCGGCCGGCGUAGCAGCGGCAGCUGAGCUGGGAUACCGACGUCACGUCAUGGUUUUGAUGGCGACCGCACGUCCCGGGAUUGGUGGACGACGAGGCUGAUACGGUCACGUGUGACGCUCGCUCGCCGGGGAAAAGCAUAUGCCGUUUGCGGCAUGCACGUCUGCAGCUUUGACCGGAGAGCUGCUCGCCGGCCGCCGGAGCUGGGCGGCGGUCCGUCCGGCCGGUGGGAAGGACGUACGCGAAACGUAAGCGCGUGCGGCGGUGUAGUGCAAGCGCCUGGCUCCAGAUGCUGACUGCACAUACAAAAGAUGCUGACUGCGAGGCGCUUGCACUAGGAUAAUGGAGAUGGUAUAUACUCCGAAGGCAUGAAGACAGGUAUUUGCUCCAGGAAACUCAAGAUAUGAUGGUUCCGUUUUGGAC